rnacentral:snRNA from 1 species
UUUUUCAUCUUCGACUUCCAUCC